rnacentral:rRNA from 1 species
UACAGAGGGGGCAAGCGUUGUUCGGAAUUACUGAGCGUAAAGGGCGCGUAGGCGGCCGACUAAGUCAGACGUGAAAUCCCAUGGCUCAACCAUGGAACUGCGUCUGAUACUGGACGGCUUGAGUUCGGGAGAGGGAAGUGGAAUUCCAGGUGUAGCGGUGAAGUGCGUAGAUAUCGGGAGGAACACCGGUGGCGAAGGCGGCCUUCUGGACGGAUACUGACGCUGAUACGCGAAAGCGUGGGGAGCAAACAGG